AGAGCAGCGGCCAAGGCUGAGGAGAGAGCUGGGACUCGAGACCCUGCUCCACCCUGCUGGCUCUCGCUCGGCCCCAUUACCUGGCAAGCCCCGGCAUCCUUGACCCACGUCCGUGGCGCUGCCUGGGUAGGAACGCGCCUGAAGACCGCGCAGGACACUACCACUGGGCAUCCUGGGUUUGAUCUUCUCCCCUGGGGGCGGGUGGGUGCUCCACCCUCCCGCCCACUCUCUGAGGACAUGAGGAACAUGGUAUCCAGCACCACGGACAGCUCCCAGCGGUGAGUGAGCCUGCUGACCCCUGUAGGAAAAUGGUGGUUUUGUCUAUUCCAGGCAGACAUCCUGCACUACAUUCCAGAUCUGAUGAGGCAUGGCUGCCCCAGGAUUACUGGGCUCGGACGGGAGCAGUGGUAGGAAGGAUCCUAUAUAAGUCAUGUGAGACAUAGAAUGUUCAGAUCAACUGAAGCUGAAACAAGCCUUUGGCAUCAUAUAUAACCCAGAAAGGGACAAAGCUGGUGAGUGAACUCCUGAAUCCAGCCUAGCCUUUUCUGCACUGAUUCCCCUUUAUGAACCUCCUUGCCCAAUUCUGGCAGGAGAUUUACAUGAGAUGUUACACACAAAAGGGCAGGAUACAUGUCUGGGAAUGUGAAGUAUCCCUAAGAACCAGGGAAAGGUGGAACUGACUGCUCUCACCGUCUGAGAAGGCUUUGAAGGGAAAGUCCUGAAGAAGGCAUGGGGAAGGCUUACCUAGCAAAAAGGCAAGGGAGCCACCAUCUGCCAGGGUAUAGAGGCCAGUGGAUGGCCCCAGGAGUCUCUGGAGGCCAGCAGGAGGCAUGCAGACUGGACUGGGGCCUGGGAAAGGCCCUUCUGUGUGCCCACGCUUGCUCCCCCUACACCAUGAGUCUAGAGACAAAGGGACCACUCUCUCACAUUUGACACUGCCAUCUCCGGCUGGCAGUGCCAGGUGGCAGGGGCAUCAGGGGUGUCAAUCCAUUAUCCACUCCCAGCCCCUAAGUCCUCUGGGGCUGAAUGUUGGGGAGGUGGGUGUUCUACGCUAUGUUGCCAUAGCAACCACCCCAACCCCCAACCCC
rnacentral:lncRNA from 1 species